GUUGUGAACGAAGGCAGAAGAUCGAAGACGGGAUAUGGAUUCAUGUCUCGCUGUUUUAUCCUGAUCAGGGUAAGGAUUUCAGUCAUCAUUCACAAACAGCUAGACAUGAAUCUCUAAUCUGUCCUCACUCCUGACCCUAAACUCAGAAUGCGCAAGAUAAUGUGCAAGACAGGCAAAAAUUGUCAACCACGUCGUCGUCGUCCUACUUCGUUCUCUUGCUCAAACUCUCUAUUACAACGGCAACGGCAACGUGAUCAUCAACAAUAGCAUUGAUCCUCGAAGACAAAGGCGAUGUAAAUUACAUGGUCUUAAGCGUUGUGCAAUGCCGUAGUUGUUGAAACUGGUACGUGAUCCGCAUCAUUUCACGGCGGUGCAUGACUACGGCAACCGGUUAAUUCGAGUUCGAUGUUAUUUGAGGUGUUUUAUUUGAAUUCGCGGACUAUUUUUAAUUGAGGACUGUUUGUGAAAAACAGGAAUACUUAACGAGGCAAAUUAAGUGUAGGAACGUAUACUUUGGCUCAAAUACAACAUAAGCAAUUAUAUUUUUGCCGUUGUCGUUGCCGUUCUGGGUUACCAAACUCCCUAUUUUCCCGUGAUGAACCGGUGGUCCAUCACGUAAAAACAAACGCAUGCAUUUUAAAACAAAACAGCAAAACUAAUUGAAAAUUUGAAAAUUAUAAUUUAACUUGUUAUUAAUAAGAUAUCUAAUAAUAAUAACAUUUAAUAUCCAUCUUUGGUUAAAAAAGUACAAUGGAUUUACAAGAAGUGCUAAGGUUAAAAUUGAUAAGAAGAAAUUUUACUAUUAUUUACAUCAAUGUUGCUAAAAAUGUUUAUACUAGUUAUAUAUUCUAUAAAAUUAAUUUAGGACUGUUUUAAAAGGGAUAUAGCUCUAGGUAUAAAGGAUUGCCGGUGUCUUUUAGUAUACGAUACAACAUAUGGUAGAUUACUUGUUGUUCUUAGAUCGUGUUCAUGGGUAAAAGGUUGGGGGAUAAGUUUAUUACAUGGGUUGGUCGGAUCACUUAGAAUUCUUUGGUAUUCCUUAACAGUUAGGUGUGCCCUUCUUUGUUCUAGCGUUUCAAAGUUGCACCGAGAUGUGCCGAGGAUUUUGAUGCAUCUGUUUUGAAUGCUCUCUAUUUCAUCAAUGAGAUAUUGUGGUAAACCACCCC